AAAACACAUUUCAAUUCACACAUGUAUAAUACACACUUGUACGUGUGUGAAAUAUUAUCAUCAUCUCGUCAACAUAUUGAAUGUCUCUAAAUCGCCAAAUCUAUUCCCUGCUUGCAUAGAAAAGUUAGAUGACCUUCCCUGUCAACCUUCAGUCUCAACUUCUGCAUUCUGCUUGUGAAAUUGUUAUUAUCACAUCAGUCCAUGGUAUUUGCAUGGUCAUUUGCUGACCAGUCUCAUUCUGUGGACAUGCUCUGCAGAUAGUUGUUGGUGUUGCUGUUUGAUGCGAUGUGGCUCUUUGAAACAACCAGUAUGAUUACUCUCAAGUUGCCAGUAUAGCGGACAUGAGCCGAAGAAUGGUUGCUCAUGGUCACAUGAAGCAGUAGCCCCCCUGCAACUUCAAAGUCAAUGUCUGGCCUCAGCCCAAGAGGGGAUUUCCUCUUGGUUUAAUGGACCUGAGCCCUAGGACCAUGCCUCAGGACUACCUGGCAUGAUGACUCCUUGUUGUCCCCAGUCCACCUGGCCGUGCUGCUGCUCCAGUUUCAACUGUUCUGCCUGCUGCUAUGGAACCCUGACCUGUUCACUGUGAUUACUAUUAUUUGACCAUGCUGGUCAUUUAUGAACAUUUGAACAUCUUGGCCAUGUUCUGUUAUAAUCUCCACCCGGCACAGCCAGAAGAGGGCUGGCCACCCCUCAUAGCCUGGUUUCUCUCUAGGUUUCUUCCUAGGUUUUGGCCUUUCUAGGGAGUUUUUCCUAGCCACCGUGCUUCUACACCUGCAUUGCUUGCUGUUUGGGGUUUUAGGCUGGGUUUCUGUACAGCACUUUGAUAUAUCAGCUGAUGUAAGAAGGGCUAUAUAAAUACAUUUGAUUUGAUUUGAUUAUUGCGGACAGUCUGAGCACUGAUGGAGGGAUUGUGCGUUCCUGGUGUAACUCGGGCAGUUGUUGUUGCCAUCCUGUACCUGUCCUACAGGUGUGAUGUUCGGAUGUUCCCUGUCGUUCAGCCAUCAAACCAUUCACUGCUCCACCAGGUGUGUGGGAAACUUUGAUCUUGUGCCUCCAUUCUCCACUGAUACAUAUGGGCUGAUGCUGAGAGUCGUUGUGGGAGUACCCAUGAUGUAUAGAGCAUUUGGACAAGAGUGAAGAAAAAGAGCAGUGCGUAGCUAAUUGAUGGAUUUUAUUUUGGGUAAAAAAAAACAUUGUACAGUUUAAAAAAAACAUUACUUAAUAACAAGAAAAUCCAGAGGAUGAAAAACACUUAUUUCCAGUGUGGUCCUCAGUUAAUGAUAUGCUACUUUUCGUUGAGCUAUAAACAUGUACCACUGCAGCAGCUACACUGUAAAAAUAGAAAGUCUCAAAACACCAUGAUUGUGUAAUGAAAUCACAAAGUAAUGCACCUAAGCUGAGAUCUGGUGUUUGGAGGGUGUUUGAUUUAAACCCAAUGUAUUUGAUUUAAUGCACAGAAUGUGUUUUAAAACAGAAAUUAAGUACUCCAAAAAACCCAAAGUGGUUCUUCACUGUACCCCGGGCGCCGAUGACGUCGAGGCAGCCCCCUGCACCUCUCUGAUUGAGACACAUUUCAGUUGAAUGCAUUCAGUUGUACAACUGACUAGGUAUCCCCCUUUCCCCUUUCAAACUUAAUACUGGUGUUUUUUAAAAGUGUUGUGAAAACACAUUGAGGGUUUCAGUGCAUGUAAAAAGCAGCAAUAAAACACCAAAACUGUGUUUCUCACACAAUGAAUGAUUUAGAAAUGCAAAUGGUUUAUAUCCUAAAUAUUGAUUAAUGAUUAAGGGCCUAACGAUAAUAUUUUUGGGGGAAUUCCACCUUAACUUCUUCAAUGCUUUAAUUAGACAGACUCGAAAUAGGAGGGGCAGUAAGAUUCAAAUCAAAUUUUAAUUGGUCACAUACACGUUUAGCAGAUGUUAUUGCAGGUGUAGCGAAAUGUUUGUGUUUCUAGCUCCAACAGUGCAGUAAUAUCUAAACAGGUAAUAUCUAAUAAUUUCACCACAAUACACACAAAUCUGAAGUAAAGGAAUGGAAUUAAGAAUAUAUAAAUAUUUGUAUGAGCUAAACACAUUUUUCACCCGCUUUGAGGAUAACACAGUGCCACUGACAUGGCCAGGUACCAAGGACUGUGUCCUUCUCCGUGGCCGACGUGAGUAAGACAUUUUAACGUGUUAAACCGCGCAAGGCAGGCCCAGACAACAUCCCUAGCUGCAUCCUCAGAGCAUGCACAGACCAACUGGCUGGAGUGUUUACGGACAUAUUCUAUCUCCCUAUCCCAGUCUGCUGUCCCCACAUGCUUCAAGAUGGCCACCAUUGUUCCUGUACCCAAGAAAGUAAAGGUAACUGAAUAUCGCUUCUGUCAUCAUGAAGUGCUUUGAAAGACUAGUGUCAUGUAAUUAUUGUAAUCAAAAGGAGAGACUUAAAUUUCCUCAAAACAAGUAAACUUUAUUAUUUAAUUACAUCAGUAAUGGAGCUUUACAACGACACUAGUCAAGGAUCAUAUCACCUCUACCUUACAAUUGAUUAAAUGUAGAUUUUUUUUUGUCACACACAAUACCCCAUGUCAAAGUGGAAUAAUGUUUUUAGACAUUUUUUUAAUUAAGUGAAUAGCUGAAAUAAGUAUUCAAUCCCUUUGUUAUGGCAAGCCUAAAUAAGUUUAGUAGUAAAGAUUUGCUUAACAAGUCACAUAACAGAGCCCCACUGUGGAGGUGUCAUAAUACCCAUAAAACCAAGCAGUCAAACAGGGAAAUGGUUCCAAUUGUCUUUCCACCAUACAUUUUUCCCAAAGGGGAUUUUAGAAACACUUAAAAUAAGGGCUUUGUUUCGUGUAUGCUUACAUGAUGUUUUGAUAACCAUGUAAAACUCUCCAGGACAAGGUGACUUUUAUCAAUAUAUUCGGCUCUAUUUACUCUCAGAUUUGAAAAUGCUAAUUUGCCUCGAUUCUGUAGUCUAGCCUAGAUCAUCAUUGUCACGUCCUGACCCUAGUAAGAUGUCAUUUUCUACAGUAGAGUAGGGCAGGGCGUGACAGGGGGUGUUUUGGGUUGUUCUAUGUUUUCUAUUUCUAUGUUUAAGUUCUAGUUUUUCUAAUUCUAUGUUGGGAUUGUUUGGGGUUGAUCUCUAAUUGGAGGCAGCUGAUCCUCAUUGCCCCUGAUUAGAGAUCAUAUUUAAGUAGGGGUUUUUCUCUUCCUGUUAGUGGGUUAUUAUCUUUUGAGUAGUGUGGUUUUCUUGCGGCGUCACGGUUUGUUGUUUUUGUAUAUUCAAGUAUUUAAGUGUAUUGCAUUCAGUUUCACGUUUAAUAAAUAUGUGGAACUGCGAACACGGUGCAUUUUGGUCCGCUUCUUCAAACAGCCGUGACAAUCAUGGCAUUUGCAGUUCUGUAUGAUAGCCGCUAUUUAGCAUUUCAUAUGGGGAGUGUAAACACAGGCGAAUAUAUUUAUAAAAGUCACCUUGUCCUAUAGAGAUUUACAUGGUUAUCAAAACGUCAUGAAA
rnacentral:lncRNA from 1 species